rnacentral:rRNA from 1 species
UACGGAGGGGACUAGCGUUGUUCGGAAUUACUGGGCGUAAAGCGCACGUAGGCGGAUUUGUAAGUCAGGGGUGAAAUCCCGAGGCUCAACCUCGGAACUGCCUUUGAUACUGCAAAUCUCGAGUCCGGAAGAGGUGAGUGGAAUUCCUAGUGUAGAGGUGAAAUUCGUAGAUAUUAGGAAGAACACCAGAGGCGAAGGCGGUUUCCUGGGCCAACACUGACGCUGAGGCGCGAAAGCGUGGGGAGCAAACAGGG